UACGUAGGGGGCAAGCGUUGUCCGGAAUCAUUGGGCGUAAAGAGCGUGUAGGCGGCCCGAUAAGUCCGCUGUGAAAGUCCGGGGCUCAACCCUGGGAUGCCGGUGGAUACUGUCGGGCUCGAGUCCGGAAGAGGAGUGUGGAAUUCCUGGUGUAGCGGUGAAAUGCGCAGAUAUCAGGAGGAACACCGGUGGCGAAGGCGGGUCUCUGGGCCGUAACUGACGCUGAGGAGCGAAAGCGUGGGGAGCGAACAGG
rnacentral:rRNA from 1 species